UUAAGUUAGAAAGGGCGCACGGUGGAUGCCUUGACACUAGGAGUCGAUGAAGGACGGGACUAACGCCGAUAUGCUUCGGGGAGCUGUAAGUAAGCUUUGAUCCGAAGAUUUCCGAAUGGGGAAACCCACCAUACGUAAUGGUAUGGUAUCCUUAUCUGAAUACAUAGGGUAAGGAAGACAGACCCAGGGAACUGAAACAUCUAAGUACCUGGAGGAAGAGAAAGCAAAUGCGAUUUCCUGAGUAGCGGCGAGCGAAACGGAACAUAGCCCAAACCAAGAGGCUUGCCUCUUGGGGUUGUAGGACAUUCUAUACGGAGUUACAAAGGAACGAGGUAGACGAAGCGACCUGGAAAGGUCCGUCGUAGAGGGUAACAACCCCGUAGUCGAAACUUCGUUCUCUCUUGAAUGUAUCCUGAGUACAGGCGGAACACGUGAAAUUCCGUCGGAAUCUGGGAGGACCAUCUCCCAAGGCUAAAUACUCCCUAGUGAUCGAUAGUGAACCAGUACCGUGAGGGAAAGGUGAAAAGCACCCCGGAAGGGGAGUGAAAGAGAUCCUGAAACCGUGUGCCUACAAAUAGUCAGAGCCCGUUAACGGGUGAUGGCGUGCCUUUUGUAGAAUGAACCGGCGAGUUACGAUCCCGUGCGAGGUUAAGCUGAAGAGGCGGAGCCGCAGCGAAAGCGAGUCUGAAUAGGGCGUUUAGUACGUGGUCGUAGACCCGAAACCAGGUGAUCUACCCAUGUCCAGGGUGAAGUUCAGGUAACACUGAAUGGAGGCCCGAACCCACGCACGUUGAAAAGUGCGGGGAUGAGGUGUGGGUAGCGGAGAAAUUCCAAUCGAACCUGGAGAUAGCUGGUUCUCCCCGAAAUAGCUUUAGGGCUAGCCUUAAGUGUAAGAGUCUUGGAGGUAGAGCACUGAUUGGACUAGGGGUCCUCAUCGGAUUACCGAAUUCAGUCAAACUCCGAAUGCCAAUGACUUAUCCUUAGGAGUCAGACUGCGAGUGAUAAGAUCCGUAGUCAAAAGGGAAACAGCCCAGACCGCCAGCUAAGGUCCCAAAGUGUGUAUUAAGUGGAAAAGGAUGUGGAGUUGCUUAGACAACUAGGAUGUUGGCUUAGAAGCAGCCACCAUUUAAAGAGUGCGUAAUAGCUCACUAGUCGAGUGACUCUGCGCCGAAAAUGUACCGGGGCUAAAUACACCACCGAAGCUGCGGAUUGAUACCGAAUGGUAUCAGUGGUAGGGGAGCGUUCUAAGGACAGUGAAGUCAGACCGGUAAGGACUGGUGGAGUGCUUAGAAGUGAGAAUGCCGGUAUGAGUAGCGAAAGACGGGUGAGAAUCCCGUCCACCGAAUGCCUAAGGUUUCCUGAGGAAGGCUCGUCCGCUCAGGGUUAGUCAGGACCUAAGCCGAGGCCGACAGGCGUAGGCGAUGGACAACAGGUUGAUAUUCCUGUACCACCUCUUUAUCGUUUGAGCAAUGGAGGGACGCAGAAGGAUAGAAGAAGCGUGCGAUUGGUUGUGCACGUCCAAGCAGUUAGGCUGAUAAGUAGGCAAAUCCGCUUAUCAGUGAAGGCUGAGCCUGUGAUGGGGAAGCUCCUUAUGGAGCGAAGUCUUUGAUUCCCCGCUGCCAAGAAAAGCUUCUAGCGAGAUAAAAGGUGCCUGUACCGCAAACCGACACAGGUAGGCGAGGAGAGAAUCCUAAGGUGUGCGAGAGAACUCUGGUUAAGGAACUCGGCAAAAUGACCCCGUAACUUCGGGAGAAGGGGUGCUUUCUUAACGGAAAGCCGCAGUGAAUAGGCCCAAGCGACUGUUUAGCAAAAACACAGCUCUCUGCGAAGCCGUAAGGCGAAGUAUAGGGGGUGACACCUGCCCGGUGCUGGAAGGUUAAGGAGAGGGGUUAGCGUAAGCGAAGCUCUGAACUGAAGCCCCAGUAAACGGCGGCCGUAACUAUAACGGUCCUAAGGUAGCGAAAUUCCUUGUCGGGUAAGUUCCGACCCGCACGAAAGGUGUAACGAUUUGGGCACUGUCUCAACCAGAGACUCGGUGAAAUUAUAGUACCUGUGAAGAUGCAGGUUACCCGCGACAGGACGGAAAGACCCCGUGGAGCUUUACUGUAGCCUGAUAUUGAAUUUUGGUACAGUUUGUACAGGAUAGGCGGGAGCCAUUGAAACCGGAGCGCUAGCUUCGGUGGAGGCGCUGGUGGGAUACCGCCCUGACUGUAUUGAAAUUCUAACCUACGGGUCUUAUCGACCCGGGAGACAGUGUCAGGUGGGCAGUUUGACUGGGGCGGUCGCCUCCUAAAGUGUAACGGAGGCGCCCAAAGGUUCCCUCAGAAUGGUUGGAAAUCAUUCGUAGAGUGCAAAGGCAUAAGGGAGCUUGACUGCGAGACCUACAAGUCGAGCAGGGACGAAAGUCGGGCUUAGUGAUCCGGUGGUUCCGCAUGGAAGGGCCAUCGCUCAACGGAUAAAAGCUACCCCGGGGAUAACAGGCUUAUCUCCCCCAAGAGUCCACAUCGACGGGGAGGUUUGGCACCUCGAUGUCGGCUCAUCGCAUCCUGGGGCUGUAGUCGGUCCCAAGGGUUGGGCUGUUCGCCCAUUAAAGCGGUACGCGAGCUGGGUUCAGAACGUCGUGAGACAGUUCGGUCCCUAUCCGUCGUGGGCGUAGGAAAUUUGAGAGGAGCUGUCCUUAGUACGAGAGGACCGGGAUGGACGCACCGCUGGUGUACCAGUUGUUCUGCCAAGGGCAUAGCUGGGUAGCUAUGUGCGGAAGGGAUAAGUGCUGAAAGCAUCUAAGCAUGAAGCCCCCCUCAAGAUGAGAUUUCCCAUAGCGUAAGCUAGUAAGAUCCCUGAAAGAUGAUCAGGUUGAUAGGUUCGAGGUGGAAGCAUGGUGACAUGUGGAGCUGACGAAUACUAAUAGAUCGAGGACUUAACCAU
rnacentral:rRNA from 1 species